CAGGGAGCCCGAGCCGCCCAGGAGGCUGUAGCACAGAGAGAUCUCCACCCCUCACCUCCCUCUCCUGGGGGAACAUGCCACGCUUUUUCUAGGAGCAAGUCCUUGAGAAACCUACAAUGAAAAGUGGGAGCUACCUACACAGGGCGAACUCUGACGUCAUCCAGGCAUUCCCAAUGGAUCCGAAGACUCGAUGGAAGAUAGUUUUCUGUCUCCCCUGCCAACACCCACAGAAUUCCUCUAACUGGUCUCCUGGCCUCACUCUGCCUCAUUUCCCUUCAUCCUAGAAAACAAUAGCAGAUCAAUGUUUCUGAGGCAAUGUUUUUUUAGCUCUACCAAUGUCCCCCCGACUCAAAAAACCAUUAUCUCACUACCUAACUAAUAAACUCCAACCUCUUUACCUUGGUACUCAAGAUUCCCCCUACCUUUGGUGUAUCUCGCAGUCCUGCCAAACCAAACAGUGCAUGCUGUCCAAACAUACACACUGCGUCCUUCUCUUCUGUCUCCGUAGUAUCAGAUGAUAGCAUUUGAGCAAAGCUGUCAUUUGCUAGCCAAGUGGCUUUUGGAAAGGUCAUUUUACCUCCCUCAGCCUCAGUUUCUGCAUGUAUAAAUUAUGGAUAAGACUCACCUCAAAUUGUUUUUAUAAAGAAUUAAAUUGAAUUAGCUAGAAUAUGCAAAAAUCCCUGGCUCCCUGCCCGACAUGGGGUGCCUACCAAUAAUUAUUCAAAUCUAAAUAUUGGCCUAUGCCAUGCUCUGCUUCCUUUUCCUAUUAAAACUUUAUUCUUGAAAAAU
rnacentral:lncRNA from 1 species